GAUGAACGCUGGCGGCGUGCCUAAUACAUGCAAGUCGAGCGAACAGACGAGGAGCUUGCUCCUCUGACGUUAGCGGCGGACGGGUGAGUAACACGUGGAUAACCUACCUAUAAGACUGGGAUAACUUCGGGAAACCGGAGCUAAUACCGGAUAAUAUAUUGAACCGCAUGGUUCAAUAGUGAAAGACGGUUUUGCUGUCACUUAUAGAUGGAUCCGCGCCGCAUUAGCUAGUUGGUAAGGUAACGGCUUACCAAGGCAACGAUGCGUAGCCGACCUGACAGGAUGAUCGGCCACACUGGAAGAGAGACACGGUCCAGACUCCUACGGGAGGCAGCAGUAGGGAAUCUUCCGCAAUGGGCGAAAGCCUGGCGAAGCAACGCCGCGUGAGUGAUGAAGGUCUUCGGAUCGUAAAACUCUGUUAUUAGGGAAGAACAAAUGUGGAAGUAACUAUGCACGUCUGGACGGUACCUAAUCAGAAGGCCACGGCUAACUACGUG
rnacentral:rRNA from 1 species